AGUCGAGCGAGCGGUUUCAAUGAAGUUUUCGGAUGGAUUUGAAAUUGACUUAGCGGCGGACGGGUGAGUAACGCGUGGGUAACCUGCCUUACACUGGGGGAUAACAGUUAGAAAUGACUGCUAAUACCGCAUAAGCGCACAGGGCCGCAUGGUCUGGUGUGAAAAACUCCGGUGGUGUAAGAUGGACCCGCGUCUGAUUAGGUAGUUGGUGGGGUAACGGCCCACCAAGCCGACGAUCAGUAGCCGACCUGAGAGGGUGACCGGCCACAUUGGGACUGAGACACGGCCCAAACUCCUACGGGAGGCAGCAGUGGGGAAUAUUGGACAAUGGGCGAAAGCCUGAUCCAGCGACGCCGCGUGAGUGAAGAAGUAUUUCGGUAUGUAAAGCUCUAUCAGCAGGGAAGAAAAUGACGGUACCUGACUAAGAAGCCCCGGCUAACUACGUGCCAGCAGCCGCGGUAAUACGUAGGGGGCAAGCGUUAUCCGGAUUUACUGGGUGUAAAGGGAGCGUAGACGGUUAAGCAAGUCUGAAGUGAAAGCCCGGGGCUCAACCCCGGUACUGCUUUGGAAACUGUUUGACUUGAGUGCAGGAGAGGUAAGUGGAAUUCCUAGUGUAGCGGUGAAAUGCGUAGAUAUUAGGAGGAACACCAGUGGCGAAGGCGGCUUACUGGACUGUA
rnacentral:rRNA from 1 species